AUUGAACGCUGGCGGCAGGCCUAACACAUGCAAGUCGAGCGAGCGGCGGACGGGUGAGUAAUGUAUGGGGACUGCCCGAUAGAGGGGGAUAACUACUGGAAACGGUGGCUAAUACCGCAUACUAUCGGAUAACCCAUAUGGGAUUAGCUAGUAGGUGGGGUAAAGGCUCACCUAGGCGACGAUCUCUAGCUGGUCUGAGAGGAUGAUCAGCCACCCUGGGACUGGACCACGGCCCGGCCUCCUACGGAGGCAGCAUUGGGUAAUAUUGCACAAUGGGCGCAAGCCGGAUGCAGUCGUGCCGCGUGUAUGAAGAAGGCCUUAGUGUUGUAAAUUACUUUCAGUGGGGAGGCGUUACCCGCAUAAGAAGCACCGGCUAACUCCGUGCCAGCAGCCGCGGUAAUAC
rnacentral:rRNA from 1 species